rnacentral:rRNA from 1 species
AUGUGCGAUCAUACCAGCACUAAUGCACCGGAUCCCAUCAGAACUCCGCUGUUAAGCGUGCUUGGGCGAGAGUAGUACUAGGAUGGGUGACCUCCUGGGAAGUCCUCGUGUUGCACCUCU